GGCUUAUUUAUGCCAUUCAAAAGUACUUUAUGAUAGUGUUUGCCAAGGUUUUGGAUCACAAGGUGAACUAAGCACUGGUUUAACGGCAUCACAUGUUCCUAAAGUUUUAGGGUUUUUGCCUUUUUAAGGGACAUCAUGCUGUUGUAACAUAACAAGGUCUGAAGCAAUAACUGACAUUUAUAUCUGGAAGCAGAAGCAAACUCUAGUACUGUUUUUCUCAGACUUUGUUUGUUGAUUGCAUGUACAAUCUUGUGACUUUCAGACUUAGCAUCUGUUUUGGAAUCCAUUUCCAAAAUGUCACAGUGUCUUCUGCUCUGAUUUCUUCCUGUGUUUAAUGUCAGUGUGGUGACUUUCAGAUAUAUCUUUAGAGAGAUAAACUAGUUCAUAAAACCUUGUUGCCAUGAGGCAGCUGCCAUUAAUAACUAAACAUUACCACCUGAAACCUCUCAAGUAGAUAUUGUAUUUUCUGUCAUGGUAUCUCAUAAGCACUAGGAAUAUGAUAUAAUAUUUUCUCCUCUGAUCUGAAAAGUAUUCUCCCUCUGGGCUUUGAAUAAUAAAUUUUCUUGCUAUUAUCAUCGCUGUAGGAUGCCCCAGCAUAAAACAAUCUGUUCUUCUGGGAUAUUAUAGUGCUCUCAUUAGAGAACUCCUGUUUCAGGAUCCCAUUAAUUCAUUAGCUGAAUGCAUGUAAAUGUCACCUAGCUAUAACUCCUGUAGGAGCAAGUACAGUCGUGUGCUUUCUGGCACUACAUACCUUGUCUGAGCAGACAGAGACAGAUUCUUUGCUGCUUGUUUUCCUUCAGGACUACAUAUGUGUCAUUUAAGCUCUAAACUACCAUCACUACAGAACUUUGCUUUUUCUGUGCACAUCACUGGACAGGCUGCUGUAGAAAUAAAUAAAGUGUCAAUCCAAAUAAUGUAGACAGAGCACAAAUUGAUUUUAAUGGGAUUUUUGUCUCUUUAAUCAUGGUUAAAUAGUUUGCUCUCUAGCUGCAAAGUAAAGUGAAAGUAAAAAUGGGUACUCAUUGCUCCUUAGUUUCAUUUCUGCCAAGUCAUUGCACAGGCUUGCUGCAAGAAUUAUUAUUCUUGUAAAGGGGAGGCUAAAACCCUGUGGUUGAACACUGUGCUCUGGGACUAAGUAUCAACUAAAUGAUGGCAACUGGGAUUCGGAAACUGCCACUAAGAAACCUGCUCUCUUGGCCCAGCGUAGUUUCAUCUUACUAUGAGAAAAAGAAAUCCACUGAAAUGGAUCAGCCUUUGGAAGCUGGAAGCCCCAGAAGUAGGAGAGCCAGGCAGAGAGCUCCAGAGACAAGAGAAAAGACAACCCAGGAGGAAAUGCACCACAAAAGUACUGAAGAUGCUGUUUGGCCUGACUGCUCCUGACUCGCGGCAGCAAGGAUGCUUUGUGCUUCUCAAGCCUCCCAUUCUCUGUGAUCUCCUCUCUUGACCAAAAGCCACGUACCAGCUGGGUGAGGAUACAACCUUUCUGGAAGCAUCCUUUAUGUGUAAUACCCAUGAAAUGCAUUUUUCUUGUGAGUUAUUUACUUUCCAUCCCCACUUGACUGCCUCUGUCAUUAUGAGGAAACAACAAAGGGAGCAUUUCCACCAAGUCAGGAAAGCCAAAGGCUCAAAGCCCGAUGCAAGCCACAUCACUCCACCACUCAUUAUGCUAAUUUAAAGCAUGAUCUAACUGUGUAAUGGAACUUUCCUAUGAAAAGAAAAAAACUUUAGAAACCAGAAUGAAGCAUGAAUAGAGCAGCAUAAGCAGGAGUCAAGAGAAGGCCCCAGGCUUACAUCUUGGGGUAGUCAUAGCGGUGGUUGUCACUAUGACAGAAAUGUCACAGAACCCCAAGGUAGAGCUUUGUGAGUCAUAGUCUUCUCUGCCAUCUAUUGCCAUUUCAGCACUCUGGCCUCAGAGGAAAUAUGGUAGUCAUUGUCCUUCAAAAGUUCUUUUUUUUUUUUUUUUAUUUAAUUCACUCUUAAUGAGAAUAUUUAUAUUAAAACCCUCUGUGCUUAACAACUGAAAUUAUUCCUUUGUUACAUCAUUAAGCCUCUUCCCUGGAUUAAAUGUUGAUGUUUAUGAAGUAUCAAUGAGAGCUCUCUUCUGUUCACAGUUGGACUUGAUGAUCUUAAAGGACUUUUCCAACUCAAAUGAUUCUAUGAUUCUGUGAAGCACAGUAGUGGUAGCAGCUUAUUGGCAUCAGUCUGUCUUCCAGCCUUCAUCUCAUAAGUAUUUAGAAAAAAAGAAACCACUUUGAUGGAUUGACCCUGGCUGACAUCAGGCAUCCAGUAAAACCAUUCUAUCACUCCCCUACUCAGAUGGACAGGGAGAGAAAAUGGAACACAAGGCUCGUGGGUUGAGAUAAGGACAGGCAGAGCUCACUCACCUGUUACCAUCACAAGCAAAACAGACUCAGCUUGGGGGAAAUUAAUUUAAUUUAUUACCAAUCAAAAUCAGAGUAUAAAAGUGAUAUAUAAACCAAAUUCUUAAAAUCACCUUUCCCUACCCCUCCCUUCUUUCCAUGU